UACGAAGGGGCUAGCGUUGCUCGGAAUCACUGGGCGUAAAGGGUGCGUAGGCGGGUCUUUAAGUCAGGGUGAAAUCCUGGAGCUCAACUCCAGAACUGCCUUUGAUACUGAGGAUCUUGAGUUCGGGAGAGGUGAGUGGAACUGCGAGUGUAGAGGUGAAAUUCGUAGAUAUUCGCAAGAACACCAGUGGCGAAGGCGGCUCACUGGCCCGAUACUGACGCUG
rnacentral:rRNA from 1 species